AUUGAACGCUGGCGGCAGGCCUAACACAUGCAAGUCGAGCGGAUGAAGGGAGCUUGCUCCUGGAUUCAGCGGCGGACGGGUGAGUAAUGCCUAGGAAUCUGCCUGGUAGUGGGAGAUAACGUCCGGAAACGGGCGCUAAUACCGCAUACGUCCUGAGGGAGCAAGGGGGGGAUCUUUGGACCUCACGCUAUCAGAUGAGCCUAGGUCGGAUUAGCUAGUUGGUGGGGUAAAGACCUACCAAGCCGACGAUCCGUAUCUGGUGUGAGAGGCUGAUUAGGCACACUAGAAGUUGGACAGGGAGGUGAGUGCUAAGGUAGGCAGCAGUGGGGAACAUUGGACAAUGGGGGGAUAUGUGAUCCAGCAAUGCGGCGUGUGUGAAAAAGAUCUUCCGAUUGUAAAGACCUUUGAGGUGGGAGGAAGGGCAGUUAGUUAAUACGGUACUGUUAUGACGGUACCAGCUGAAUAAGCACCGGCUAACUACGUG
rnacentral:rRNA from 1 species